CCUACGGGGAGCUACAGUGAGGAAUAUUGGUCAAUGGACGAGAGUCUGAACCAGCCAAGUAGCGUGAAGGAUGACUGCCCUAUGGGUUGUAAACUUCUUUUAUAUGGGAAUAAAACGUUCCACGUGUGGGAUUUUGUAUGUACCAUCUGAAUAAGGAUCGGCUAACUCCGUGCCAGCAGCCGCGGUAAUACGGAGGAUCCGAGCGUUAUCCGGAUUUAUUGGGUUUAAAGGGAGCGUAGGUGGAUUGUUAAGGCAGUUGUGAAAGUUUGCGGCUCAACCGUAAAAUUGCAGUUGAAACUGGCAGUCUUGAGUGCAGUAGAGGUGGGCGGAAUUCGUGGUGUAGCGGUGAAAUGCUUAGAUAUCACGAAGAACUCCGAUUGCGAAGGCAGUUCACUGGACUGCAACUGACACUGAGGCUCGAAAGUGUGGGUAUCAAACAGGAUUAGAUACCCUAGUAGUC
rnacentral:rRNA from 1 species